rnacentral:rRNA from 1 species
GAUGAACGCUGGCGGCGUGCUUACCACAUGCAAGUCGAACGGGAAUCCUUCUCUGAUGCCUUUUCGGUAUUUUCUUGGUUCCUUCUGGGGGCGGACGGGUGAGUACCGGGGGGACAACCUGCCUUGAGGGGGGGAACAACAGUAGAAGACGACUGCUACUCCCGAAUAGCCCCACGCUUCCGGGUGAAGCGUGGAAAAAACCUCCGGUGGAGCAGGAUGCCCCCUCGUCUGAUUAAAUAGUUGGGGAGGCAACCCCCCACCAAAUCAACAAUCAGCCGCCGGCCUGGGAGGACGAGCGGCCUCGUUGGGACUGAACCCCCCCCCCUCCUCCUGCGGGAGGCAGCGGGGAGUAUUAUUGAACGGGGGAAAAACCCCUGAUGCACCGCCGCCGGGUGAAUGAAGAAUUUUUUCGUUAUGUAAUCUUCUAUCAGGAGGGAAAAAAACGAUGACGCCUCCUGACUAAGACCCC